GCUGCAUGCUGAACUGGGCUUACGAGGCUGGAAAACGGAGAAGAGACAAGAAGUUGCAAGUUGUGACUGUAACCUGCUUUAAAUAUUGGUUGGUAUUUGGUUAGAAGGGUGGUCAAGUCCCUGUGAGGAGCAGGAAGAUGCACAGGUAAUGUGCGAUGCGCUUAAAGAUGCAGCUCUUGGUUGAGAGGAAGCCUUUGCUUCCAGGCCUUAUUUCAAAUCCUGCUGGGUCAGUUGACAUCAUGGAUAUUUUCCUGAGGAGGCUCCUUAGAAACCUGUCCGAAUUAACAGAUUGGGUGUCUUGGCGCAAUUCCCUGUUAUAGUGCAAACGCUGCUCUCGCAGCGGGCUCCUCUUCUGACAUUUGGAACGCAGAGGGAAAAGGUUGAAUCUUGGAAAUAGUUGCCCGUGCCAGGUUGGGGUGAGCGGUGGGCUGGGAAACUCUGUGUGUGAUUAACUGGAGACUGAUGGCUAAAUCUAUCUAUUUUUAUUGGCAGUAAACCGAAAUUUAAAGUAAAGCCACUGUAAUUUACUGCUGAGUGAGUGGAGUUACCACUGAAGGCACUGGAGCUGUGCGUGUGCCUCAGGACAGAGCGUAGCUUGUGAAGGCAGCGUUCGGCUCUUCUGCUCUCUGGCUUUCCACACUUACAGGGCUCUCGUGCUUUUUACCCAUUCAGACCCCAGGUGUUGUUGGUGGAUCUGAAAGGAGGAAACCUGAGGAUGGAGCUGCUGCCUUCAAGAGUGGAUGAGGCUGGUGGUGUGGCAACGCUGAGGUGCUCUCUGCAAUUGCACAGAUUUUUGUCUCGACGGGGCUGUAGUUCAGCUGUCUCCUCAGAGUUUGCCAGUCCUUACCAAGCGUACCUGCAAAGCGCUUGGCUGGCUGGCUGCAUAGUUACCACACGAGAGGGGAUUUGAAUAGGUCUUCCUGUCCAAAAAUUGCAUUGUGUUCAACUUAAAAGGCCUCUCUCGAAGUUUAAACUAAGUUAUUGGCUGAUGUGGCACUCGGUGCAAUACUCAGAGCAGCUCAGAGCCAGCCUGCAAGAACUGCGCUGUGAUUCACGUGUAUUCAAUUGCUGCUUGAAGGCAGGUGCCUCUGCACCACAAAAAGUGGCAUCACUUUGUGCCGCAGGAUUUUGCUUCGGUGACUUAAAAUUAUGUUGCUGGAGUUUUAAAUAAAUAAAUACUACCGUUUCAGAACAAAAUUUCAGCAUUACAUUAUAGCUUCUGUAGGAACAUAUCUCUGAAAUAAUUUUACUUAUUUACAUUACAAAGUGAUUUUAGCACGUGCUGAAAUUCACCUUUCCGUGAUUCACGUUGCUAGAAUGCACAUGUGGAAGAGGUACAAGAAAUUUCUUUUGCUUAAACAUCAGCCCUGGAGACUCAACAUUUUCUUUCCAUAUUCAAAAAGAAAUUUAAUUUUAGCUUUUUGUGAUACUCAUUUAAUAAUUAACUGCUCUGUGCACUGCAUCUUACUAUUCUACGGGCCCGAAGAUUUUUCUGUUGGAAACAAAAGGAAAAUCGAUUUCAACAAAUUCAGUUGUUGCCUUCUUAUUAGGUUCCGGUACUCAAUGUAAAUUAAUGUUUUGAAUUUAUGUCAUCGAUCAAUAGGUGCAACUAUUGAUUUGGGAUGUAUGAGGUAAAAAGUGAAUAAAUAAGUUUUUGUCUUUGUUUUUGUAACUUGAAAACAUGUCAAAGUUUAUUGAGCUGCAAGUUACUUUGUAGUGAACCUGAGGCGGAAUCAAAAGCACAAGAAUAAUGUUAGCCUAUUUAUUUCUUGGGUGCUGAUAGAUUUUUCUUAAAAUGCUGACUGACAGGUAAUUUUAAAAGUUUAUUUAGAAAGCUGGGGUGUACGGGUUUGCUGUCUGAUCACAGGUCCUGAUGCCCAUUCGAUCUUCUGUGGGACUAGUUGACAAGUGGGAAGUUAUCUUGCAUACAAUCCUUUUAAUUGUGGUUUUGUGCCUUGUGUGUAAAUUUGCUCAAUUACAGGGGCUGGUAGAGCCAUGACCACGCUGUGCUGAUUCGGUAGUUCAGGGCUGAUUCAGGCUCUCGCUCACCUUAUGGACAAUGAUAUCUCGACUUGAUAUUGGCUGAAGGACAUGACUAUUUCCACAAUCCCUUAAAAUGCCAUAGCUGUGAGACUGGGAAAGUCAAGUAGCGGUGGAGACUGUUUAAGGGGAGGAAGGAACUAAUAAUAUGCUGGAAAACUGAGGGGGACAAAAAGGAAUUUGAGAAUCGGAGGGAAGCAGCAGUUGAAAACGAAUCUGUUCCAAGGUCUGAGCUUGCAGUACUGUGAAGUUAGGACAGAGCAGAAGUACCAGUGCGGUCAUCUCCUAAUGGUCCAAAAUCAAGAGAGAGGUCAAACCAGUCACAGACUUACAAUGCAUAAAGUCAGGUGAAGUUAUUUUUCUUGUCUUCACCUUUCUGCUUUUGUAAUUCCUGUUUUCUAAGCUUUUAGGAAGCUACAAAUGAGGUGAAUUUUUUUGGUCAGUCUGCUUUAAUGACAGUGUGGGUCUGACACAACCUCAGGUUUCCGAGCACUGGAAAUUUGGAAUAAAGAGCCUUGUUGUUCAUAUCUGAGAGCUGGCAAUACUGCUUCUUCCCUCCUGCUCCCUUUUAUCAUGCCGCUUGACAGAAAUAUUUUGUUUGUUAUUUAAAAAAAUGUAUUUGUUAAAAGUUAAUAUUUUUUUCUUGUAAAGGCUCAUCCAUCCUGGUAUUACAUUAGCAAUUCUACUUUGUUCUUCUGUGAAGCAAGUUUCAGUUUACAGGUACAUCUGCUUUCCAUUCCACGGCUUAAAGAAAGUCAUCAGGAAAAUCUUAAAACCUACUUAAUGAAGCCUUUUAAAUGCUCAUCCUGCACUUUUGAGUGAAGUGCAAUUUAUAUUUCAUAAAAGUAGAAGCUGAGCUGCAAGCUGUAAGUAAUUAUCGUAUAAUUAAAUGUCUACUAUGAAAGAAAUGAAAACUCGGGCUUCUUGGGAGGCUUCUGCGACUCGUUUAUGCAAUCACAAAUUAAAUUACAUUUCUUUACCUUAUGAAUGUUCUGGAGGUACAUUAACCCAGUUUGGAGAUGCACCUCUGAGACUGCUAAGCUGCUUUGAAAGGGGAAGGAAGUUCAUCAAACCAGUAAAUUCCAUGGGCCAAGAAGAAGAACACGUAAAUAUCUGUGAUGGGUUCUGCAAAUACCCUUCUCUUCCCCCGUGCUGUCUGUGAGUGCUCCCAGAGCCCCGAUGUCACCUCGUCUGCAGCUGGAGGGGGAUGGUGUAAGGCUGCCUUGCGGACUCCCGGCUCAGCCGAGACUCCUGUGGCAUCUCGUCAGCUUGUUUCGAGGUGACCUGAAUUGAACAAGGCUACCUUUAAGAAAAUGGCAUGAUGAAGAGCUGCAGUCCCUGCUGUGGCUGGUACGAAGUGGUACCCGCUUUGCUAUAAUCAUCACUCCCAGGCCAGGCUGUGGAGACUUGGGCUAACGUGUCAGUACGUCUGCGAAUGCGUGUGAAGCUGCAGAGAGUCACAGGGAAUUAAUUUGCUGUUUGCUUCUGCUCCUUGCUUUCAAGUCUUCCACAAAGCCUUGGACCUGGCUGACACUAGAAGGGAUGACUAUCAAUCAGCACGGGCCGCUGGCUGUGCUGCUGCCCAGCUCCGCAGGCAUGUCAGCCCCACGGACCGCACUGCCGCCUCCAGCAGCAUCUACCGGGAGAGCGAGCAGAGGUCGGUGCUGGAUGCCCCUCGUCCUGCCUGGGACACAGCCGGAGACCGUGCUGGAUGCUUCGACCUGGAUUUUGUGCACCUAGACGUUUGACGUACACCCAGCCCUGUGAGUGCGGCCUGCGCCAAGUGGAUAUCACUGGGCUUGAAUUUUGAGGCAACCUGUGAUGGUAAUUCAGCAUAACACUGGGGAGUCAAGGUAGGGAGAUAUGUCCCUAGUUUAUUUUUAUCCUGUAACAUGCAAAAAAUUUAACAGUUCUAGCGGAUUCUGAUUUCGGAGCGACUGACAAGUAUUUUCUGCCCCAAAUUUAAUUUGAGCUAACAAUUCUUUAAGCAC